CACAUGGAAGAUCCCAGAGAGAGGCAGAGACAGAGAUAGAGGAAGGACAAGAAAGAUGACAAAGACUCGCCCAAGAAGAACAAGGGCAAGGAGCGCCGGG
rnacentral:sRNA from 1 species